rnacentral:rRNA from 1 species
AUGUAUGUGCUUCAAUUACAAUUUGCGCUUGGGAUCAAACAUAAAAACAUACAUCUUGUUGGCUACCUCCCCUUGUUUCCAGCAUGCUGCAUGCAUGGGACCCUGUAUGUUUUGCUAGGAUCCAUAGGCUGCAACUGGUUGUAUUCUUGUACCAAACGCUCCUCAAUGCGGGACAGUACAACUUCCAAGGGUCACCCUGCAUGGACUGCUUUGUUCACAUGUGCUGUGAGAGUUGCGCAUUAUGCCAAGAGUACAAGCAGCUGGAAAAUCGUGGCUUCAACAUGUCCAAAGGAUGGGAAGGUAGCAACAAGAUAA